CGUGUAGGCGGUUUGGCAAGUCAGAUGUGAAAGCCCUGGGCUCAACCCAGGAAGUGCAUUUGAAACUGCCAUCCUUGAGUAUGGGGGAGGAGAGUGGAAUUCCCGAUGUAGAGGUGAAAUUCGUAGAUAUUGGGAGGAACACCCGUGGCGAAGGCGACUCUCUGGACCAAUACUGACGCUGAGACGCGAAAGCGUGGGGAGCAAACAGGAUUAGAUACCCUGGUAGUCC
rnacentral:rRNA from 1 species